rnacentral:rRNA from 1 species
CCCUUAGAUGUUCUGGGCCGCACGCGCGCUACACUGUUCGACGCAGCGAGUCUUAACCUUGACCGAAAGGUUUGGGUAAUCUUCAGCAAAGUCGAACGUGAUGGGGAUAGAUUAUUGCAAUUAUUAAUCUUCAACGAGGAAUUCCUAGUAAGCGCGAGUCAUCAGCUCGUGCUGAUUACGUCCCUGCCCUUUGUACACACCGCCCGUCGCUCCUACCGAUUGAGUGCUCAGGUGAAUAAUUCGGACUGCAGCAAUGUUUGGAUCCCGAACGUUGCAGCGGAAAGUUUAGUGAACCUUAUCACUUAGAGGAAGGAGAAGUCGUAACA